rnacentral:rRNA from 1 species
UUAUACAACCUCAACUCAUAUGGGACUACCCCCUGAAUUUAAGCAUAUUAAUUAGGGGAGGAAAAGAAACUAACAAGGAUUUUCUUAGUAGCGGCGAGCGAAAAGAAAUCAGUUCAGCACUAAGUCACUUUGUCUAUAUGGCAAAUGUGAGAUGCAGUGUAUGGAACAUCAAUAUUCUAGUAUGAGAAAUUAACGAUUUAAGUCCUUCUUAAAUGAGGCCAUUUACCCAUAGAGGGUGCCAGGCCCGUAUAACGUUAAUGAUUACUAGAUGGUGUUUCCAAAGAGUCGUGUUGCUUGAUAGUGCAGCACUAAGUGGGUGGUAAACUCCAUCUAAAACUAAAUAUAACCAUGAGACCGAUAGUAAACAAGUACCGUGAGGGAAAGUUGAAAAGAACUCUGAAUAGAGAGUUAAAUAGUACGUGAAACUGCUUAGAGGUUAAGCCCGAUGAACCUGAAUAUCCGUUAUGGAAAAUUCAUCAUUAGAAUUAUAAUAUUUAAACAAUAUUAUAAUAAUAGUGUGCAUUUUUUCCAUAUAAGGACAUUGUAAUCUAUUAGCAUAUUAAUUUAUCAUACAAUUAUGUCAUAUUGUUUAUUUCAAUUAGAAUGCUUGCGUUUUAACAUGAAAUAAAAGUUGUAAAUUUGAUAAAGUGCUGAUAGAUUUAUAAAAAUACAGUGCGUUAAUUUUUCGGAAUUAUAUAAUGGCAUGAUUAUCAUUGAUUUUUGUGUUUAUUAUAUGCACUUGUAUGAUUAACAAUGCGAAAGAUUCAGGAUACCUUCGGGACCCGUCUUGAUUAUCGACCAAGGAUCUAACAUAUGUGCAAGUUWUUGGGAUUUAAACCUAAUAGCGUAAUUAACUUGACUAUUAGUGGGAUUAGUUUGUUAACUAUUUAUAGUUGAUUAACACAAUCCCGGGGCGUUCUAUAUAGUUAUGUAUAAUGGUAUUUAUAUUAUUUAUGCCUCUAACUAGAACGUACCUUGAGCAUAUAUGCUGUGACCCGAAAGAUGGUGAACU